rnacentral:rRNA from 1 species
AAUCAACGCUGGCGGCGUGCCUAACACAUGCAAGUCGAACGCGAAAGCCCUUUCGGGGGUAAGUAGAGUGGCGUCCGGGUGAGUAACACGUAGGUAAUCUGCCUUCGGGUGGGGAAUAACCAGUCGAAAGAUUGGCUAAUACCGCAUAAUGCAGCGGCACCUAAUGGUGAUUAGUUGUUAAAGCGGGGGAUCGUAAGACCUCGCGCCUGAAGAGGAGCCUGCGGCAGAUUAGCUAGNGGUGAGGUAAUGGCUCACCAAGGCUUCGAUCUGUAGCUGGUCUGAGAGGACGGCCAGCCACACUGGCACUGACACACGGGCCAGACUCCUACGGGAGGCAGCAGUGGGGAAUUUUGGGCAAUGGGCGAAAGCCUGACCCAGCAACGCCGCGUGAGGGAGGAAAUCCUUCGGGAUGUAAACCUCACAAGCAAGGGAAGAGAGCUCAGGGCCGAAUAAG